rnacentral:lncRNA from 1 species
AUAACAAUCAUUAAAAGUAGAAAUGACUAUAAUUCUCUAUAUUACUAUUGUUAAAAGUGGAAUAAACAAUAAAUAACGAUGGUUAUAUAGAGAACUUUCAUUAAAACUUAGAGAAAAUAUGUAUUUUUUCCCAUACAACUUUCAUUUUAGUGUUUCCUCUUUCUCUUGCACUUUCAUCUUGUCUCUCCCUUGCACUUUUAUUUUCUCUUCCCUUUGGAUUUCAUAGUCAUCAUUACCGCCAAUGGUAAACCUUUACGAGCCUUUGCCAAUAACGAAUUGCUUUACACAAACUUCAAGUUUCAAAGCACUACUGAUCUCAUCGUACACCACAUGUUCUCAUUGCAUCAUGCUUAAAACCCACACCGCGAGAGUCCUCCGUGAAGCUCUUCACACUACGUUGUAAGGUUCCUCUGCAAAGUGUAAUGCUCCAAAAUUUAGGGUGUCAAGAGUGGUUACAAAAACCAAUAAAAUUUUAAACUUUUAUCAUAGCACAGAAACAUACUUUUCAAAAAUCUCUUAAAUCAUUGUUGAUAACAUCAUUCACAAAUCACAAACACAAACAUGUAUGGGCUAAGCCACCAUUAAAACAAUCAUAAUUACAUGAUAUAAACAUACUAAUUAUAUUAAUCAUAAACAACCACCCC